rnacentral:tRNA from 1 species
UCCCUGGAGAACUAGUGGUUAGGACACAGCACUCUCACUGCUGCUGCCCGGGUUUGAUUCCUGGCCAGGGAA